GCACUGGUAGUUCAGGGGUAGAGUUCCCCACUUCCACGCAGGAGACCUGGGUUUGACUCCCAGCCAAUGCA
rnacentral:tRNA from 1 species